UAGGGAAUCUUCCACAAUGGGCGGCGAACGCCUGAUGGAGCAACACCGCGUGAGUGAAGAAGGGUUUCGGCUCGUAAAGCUCUGUUGUUAAAGAAGAACACGUAUGAGAGUAACUGUUCAUACGUUGACGGUAUUUAACCAGAAAGUCNCGGCUAACUACGUGCCAA
rnacentral:rRNA from 1 species